rnacentral:rRNA from 2 species
AAGCAUCUAAGCGCGAAGCGAGCCCUGAGAUGAGUCUUCCCUGAUACUUUAAGUAUCCUAAAGGGUUGUUCGAGACUAGAACGUUGAUAGGCAGGGUGUGUAAGCGUUGUGAGGCGUUGAGCUAACCUGUACUAAUUGCCCGUGAGGCUUAACCAUACAACACCCAAGGGGUUUUGUA